rfam:Flavobacterium subsaxonicum WB 4.1-42 = DSM 21790 strain WB 4.1-42 contig1, whole genome shotgun sequence.
GGGGUCGACUGGUUUUGACAGCAGGCCGAACUGAACAGUAAGCACGUCGAGAACUGAGACAAUUCUCGUUAAUAAAUGGUCUUACAACUUUAAACGGCGAAAAUAACUACGCUCUUGCUGCAUAAUCUAAAUUAAAGUAAGAUUAGCCUCGUUCCUGUUAGACAGGAAAGCGAGAUUCUCCUAAAAAGCCUUGGUUUGUGGCGUUUUGUAUAGGGGAACCGUAAAAAUAAACCUGGGGGUCUUUUUGCUUCGCGAAGACCCUGAGAAAACAGAAGCUAAGUAAUGUGUGGCCGUUCCUGGCCUUGCGCAUUAUCGAAAACCCAAUCAGGAACUAAACGUGUAGAAAGCUCUUUGCUUCCCUGUUUGGACCCGGGUUCGAUUCCCGGCGAUUCCACUU